rnacentral:lncRNA from 1 species
UGGGAGUAUGAAAAAGUUGAAGGAAAAGAGUGAACUCUUGUGUUUAAUUGACUAGUCUUUAUGGGAUAAGUAGAGAAACUUCUAGCUCAAUUUGUGAAAAGUCUUGGCCCCCAAACAAAAAAAAAAAGGGGCUAGCAAAGUUGUUUAGAGCUAAGAUUUGUUUAUAAGUUGAGAAAAUCCUUUAUAGAUUUCAAAGAAAAACAGUUUUAUCUGCAAAGCGUUCUUGGGAUCUUUUGGUGAGAGAUAGGAGUUAGGUUUGACAUUGGGAAGUGAUUGUGUAACUUGUAUGUUUGGGAAAAGGCAGAACAAUGGAGAUUGAUCAUUGUAUGCAUGAGUUGGUCCCUUUCUUAGAUAUAUUAUGUGCAAUGUCAAGGCUACAUGUUUUGAGAGUAAACCACUUUAAAAGAUCAUGGAUUUUG